GCCAGGCGUGGUGUCUCACGCCUGUAAUCCCAGCACUUUGGGAGGCUGAGGCAGGUGGAUCACUUGAGGUCAGGAGUUCGAGACCAGCCUGACCAACAUGGUGAAACCCUGUCUCUA
rnacentral:SRP_RNA from 1 species